rnacentral:rRNA from 1 species
ACGUAGGGGGCGAGCGUUAUUCGGAAUUACUGGGUGUAAAGGGUAUGUAGGCGGCCCUUCAAGUCGCGUGUCAAAGUCCAGUGCUCAACGCUGGGUGUGCGCGCGAUACUGACGGGCUUGAGGGCUGGAGAGGUGAGCGGAAUUCCCGGUGUAGUGGUAAAAUACGUAGAGCGCGGGAAAAACACCAGAGGCGCAGGCGGCUCACUAGACAGUUUCUAGCGCUAGGAUACGAAAGCGUGGGGAGCACAAAG